rnacentral:lncRNA from 1 species
UGGGAUAAUCUGCAAACACCUUCUAGCUUUAGAAUUUUGUUUAACCAUUCAUUUUCUUUAUGGAUAGAAGCUUAUGCUGUCAAUUAGAUCAAAGAAAGAAUUUUGCUUAACCAUCCAUUUCUUUAGAAUGUCAAUAAAAUUAAGAUAAACAAAGAAGAAUAUCGCCAACUUUUUGGUGUUCUUGAGAAACUUGAACAAAUAAUUGAGGAGGAAAAACCAUUGAGAAUCUUUUUUUAUGAUAAUUCUUUGACGAGACUCUUAAAUACUCUGAGAUUCUUGAUCCGAUUCUUCAUGGAAAGUUGGAUCCCACAUUGCACCUUUUGUUGAUUCUUUUCUUCAUGCAAGCAAAGAACGCCACAAAGAGAGCGCAAAUGCUAGCACUGUAUAGCACAAGGAACAACAUCAUUUGCCCAGGCUUCUUGGUGCUGAAUGAAACACAACCAUUUCUUAGUUUCUUCAACUGAAUCAAGUAGUAACCCAUUUAGGUUAUCAACUUAUCAUGAAGAAACAAACAAAAGUAUAGAAAAGGAAAAAUAAAAUAAUUCAUCUUCGAUGAAAAUUUCUCAAG